GGACUCCUUAUGCAUGAUUCCUCAUUCUCUUUUACCCACAGGUUGGCUGAUACCGAGAUGAACACCAGGUGAUUUUGUAAGUUGUAUGUUGAAGGCCACUGAGAUACAAGUUGGAAGAAAUUGGAUCCUGAAUCAGUGCAUAGAAGCCAGUUGCACAAGAGAGUUUCCUGGAGAAUAUCCAUCUUUGGAAUGUUUCACAGGAAGAGAUAAACUUUUAUUCUAAGCCAAUGAGAUUUGAGGAUUUGUCACUUACAGCAGCUGGUGUCACCAUAACUAAUACACUCUUCACAAAGAUUUACUUUUCUUACAGGAACGAGGAUGAAAAUUUAUCCUCCCUUCCUCGGGAGUAUGACUUGACUAUCAAUUCUUUUUAAAAAUGUGGCUACUCAAAAAAAUAGGAAGUGCACGUAUGGCUCCCAUUCUAUUUCUGUCUUGUGGUGCGGCACUGGAUUGUCUGCUCUAAGACGAAAUCUGUCCACUGAAAAUCUGAACCCUGGCACGUGCUCCGCUCAAAGUGGGUGAUAAAACCUCAUGGUUGUUGGAGAGUUCAGUAAGGUUCUGAGCAAGCAUUUACCACAGUGCCAGGCACACAGCAAGCUCUGAGUAGAUGUUGGUGAUGUUGAUGACGGUGAUGAUGACGACGACGACGAUGAUAUCAAAAAGAGCUUAAAAGGAGCACAAUUCCAUUUGUUCUCCGCCUCUUGAUCACAACAGUGAUGCAGCAGCAAAUGGCAGGUGUGACUGUGAAGCCCAAGCAGCAUGGCAGGUCCCAGGCUGAGCAGAGAGCCUCCUGCCCAGCGCAGAGCUGCUCGUGAGGCCGCUGGGAAGUGACAGGGCGUUUGCUAAGGGGGGGUCAACACCUGGUGACAGCUCACACAUUAAGCGCCUCUCCGCUGCUUGGGAUGCUGUCACCUUGUGGCAGUGUUUACGGGAACAGCUAUGACUGGAGAAACCGGAUGACCUGAGGAAUCAGGACCGAGGCUAAGAGACGCUUCACCUCCUCCACAGACUGCACCAUGCACGUGAACAUCACCACUCUGUACACCUACGCCACCUGGCUGCCGGUCACAGGUGCGUCUUUGUACGGAAGGUCGGUGAGCACCGUGCUCACCUCUGCAGCCCGUCUCUGUAGCCGUCCUGACUCAGGCCCUCCUGCCUUUGACGUGUCAGCGCCUGUACAAUGUCACCCUCACCACCUGCACCAGCCUCCUAUUGUUCGGGAACGAUGAGGAGAUAGGGGACCCCAGAGGAAAACUAAAAUAGCAUUUUGAUGAAGGUUUGACCGAGAGACAGGAAGAUUUUAUAAGUCCUUAUUUCAUCUAUGCUCCCUCUACCUACGCCUGCUGAUUUUCCAAAUGUAUGUGCUGCCCCUCUCCCUGCUACUGAAUCUGUGCUAGCCACACUGGCCUUCUUGCUUGUUCCCCCAGCAAGCCAAGCACAUUCCUGCCUCAGAGACUUUCCACUUAGUCCUACUGCCUGAAAUCCUCCCUCCCCAGACGUCCUCAUGUCCUGCUUUCUCGUUCUAGUCACUGCGUUCAGUAUUACCUCAUCAGUGAGCACUUACCUGACCUCCUUGCGGUAUAUAACAGCAGCCCCCAGGCACCGUGUUCUCUCUCCGCAGGACUUACAUACAGAAUCAUAUUUACUUAGCCCUUGUUUUCUUCCACUAUAGUAUAACUUUGUGUAGGCAGUGACUUUGAUUUUCUCAGUCACUGUGCCUCCAGAGCCAAGAUCGAUUUCACAAAAUACACGCACGAUGAAUAUCUGUAAAAUAAGUGGAUAGAAUGAAUGAGGGACCCUGGAGCAAUGUCUUAGGGGGUUUCUCUACCUUGGGUGACAUCUAUAUCCUGUCUACCCACCAUGUGUUUUUUUAAAGCAGAUCUUACUAUAUCAGUCCCCACUUAAGUGCCUUCAAUGGCUUCCCAUUACACAGGAAUGAUGGCAAGAUUGGGGACAUCAGAGUAAUAGAACUACUACUCUAUAGUCUAUAUUUUUACCAAGUGACAUAGUAGUAUUCAAAUCUCCCUUUACCCCAUCACUCUUUUCCCUGUGAAGUCCUGAGAUGGGCACACAUGCAGAAGAAAACAAAGAAAAUUACCCUCUGUGUUGGCCCCUGACUUCAAUGCAAAAACCAUCAGCAAAGGACUAAUAUACAAGGCUGAACCUAUGGAAAACUUCAUUUUGCUAAAACUAAACAUUUUUACCAAGACUAAGGCCAACUCUGCCUAUUUCCCCAUCUGUUUCCCAAUCCCUUUUCUAACACCCAAUCUGAUGCCUUAGAUUUUCUAACCGUAAUGUGAGGAAAUAGGAAGCCAGUGAGCACCCACCGAUGUCACGGAAGAAGGAGCUAGAACCGUAAAGUGGUGAUCCGUGUAGGAAGCUGCUCCUGGGUCUGACCUUUCCCCAGAACCAGCUCAUGUAUCCCACUUGGGGUUCGCCAAAUAUAUCAUACUCUUGUGGUUCAGACUGUUAAGUGCUUUAGACACUUCACUUCUAGUUAAAGUGGCCCUCCAAAAAUGUCCUCAAUCUUAAACCCUGUGUGAAUCUAAGAGGCCAGAGUUGGGGGUGGGAUGUGAUAAGAAUGAGCGCUUUCUAGAAGUCACCAUGUCUUUGAGUUUUUGUUUUCCUGUUAACCCACUGGUCUUGAUAGUGAGGUCUCUGGUUGAUUGGUCAGGGUUGGCAACAGAAGUGUGUUUUCUCAUUCUAGUUCUGGAGGCUAGAAGGCUGAGAUCAAGAUGGUGGCAGGGUUGGUUUCUUAUGAGGCCUCUUUCUCUGGUUUGUAGAUGGCCGUGUUCCUCAAGUGUCUCUGUAUGAUCUUCCCUCUGGGUCUGUCUGUAUCUUAAUCUCCUCUUUAUAUAAAGACAUCAGCAGCACUGGGCUAGGGCCCCACCCCAGUGACCUGAUUUAACCUUAAUUACCUCUUUAAAGGCGCAGUCCUAAAAACAGUCACGUUCUGUGGUCCUGGGUGUUAGGGCUUCAACAUAUGAAUUUAGGGGCUGGGACCCAAUUCAGCCAUCAAGGGAUUUCCUGUGUCAGAACUGCAAGGUAAAUAAGGUAAUAUUAGCACCACGAAUGCCUGAAAUGUGAACAAUAUUAAAUCACCCAUUAGUGAUAUUUCAUAGUAAGAUUAAACUCUCCAAACAGAAAAGCUCCAUUCUUUUCAGAGAAGUUGAACUUUCCAAAUCUCUUGUUCUUCAUGUGCUCUCAGCUCCGGGUGGUAGAGUCUUACCCAGAUGCCUGCGUGGAGUCUGGGCUCCAUUUUCAGCAUCUGAAGCCAUUACUACACCAUUUCUACAGAAAUGACGGAUCCAUUGAUGUUCCAUCAUUAAAGCCUGGUUAUUCCAAACUCGGGCUUCUCUGCCUCUUAAAACAGAAGUCAUUUAAGAUGGCAGAUGAGUCCCUCCAUUAUCCAAUCAUUCCUCUCUCCACCCUUCCCUCCUUCAUUCCUUAUUGCUCCUUAUUUUCAGGUUCUCUUUGCUUCUCACCUGGAUCUUUACAGAAAUCUCCUCUGUCUGCCAUCACUCAGUCCAUCUUUCCGGUGCAGCCAGAAGGGUCUUUCAAAAAUAUAGACAACAUGUCCUUGCUUUAAAGACUUUCUUUAAUUCUUCUUUACCUUUAGAAUAAAUUUCAAACAUUUUACUGUAAGAGGCUCUUCAUUCCCUAAUGCCUGUCAAUGUCUGCAGCCUCAUUUCCUGCCAACCGCUCCUCAAAACAUACAUUCCAGCAAUUUUGAGCUACUUCCCUUUUCCCAAAUAGUCUACAUUUUCCUCCUCGUGUUCCCCAUUUCACUUAAGAAACUGAUAAUAUCUCAGGUUGUUCCAAAUGAAAUUCUGGAAGCAAUAUUAGAUUUCUACCUUUCUUUCUUACCCCCCUCCACAUACAAGAGCUUUCUAAGACCUCUAGAUUUUAUCAAAAGUCUGUCUUCAUGUUUUCUGCCCUCUCCCGGUUUACAACCUCGUUAUUUACUUUUAUGAAUUGUUGAAACAAGAGCAAAGUCAGACCCCAUCUUUCCAUUGUUGGUAUUGCCGCCAGAGAAACCAGUUUAUACACCUGCAUUGAGUGAUCCCCAUCGCCUUUGGUUAAACACGUACUGACCUACUGAUUCUCCUAACUAGAGAACCCACUGAUGCAAGUCUGGGCACUUGGGUGGACAGGUGGGGCUGGCCUGCCAUAGCCUCUUUGUGUGAGCCUUGAGGAACCUACUGAGAAAGAACUCCUGCUGAAAAAAAGGCAUGCAAUGAACUUGAUCUGGUAAGAUGGCCUUAGCCAUCAAAAGGAAGGCUGAUUCUGAGGCCAGCAUGGUGGCUGUCUGUGACCAGACCAGACCUACGCCUCCUCUGUCUUCAUCUCUCACCCCGCCCCCAUAUACACUCGGAAUCACACACAUACACACUCUUCAACCAUGCUCUGGUGUCUUUCUGUUCUUCAAGGUCAAGUAAUACUACUCUGUCUCCAAUGUCGUAUUAUAUGCAAAAAGUGCUCUCUGCAGGCCCUCUCUGCCCGUUUUCAAACCCAACUUUGCAACUGAACCUCCACAGAUUUUGCUUACCAUUGAGAAUCAAUGUGUCCCCAUUCUCUGGGGCAAGACGGAUGGAAGGCAGGGAGGGAGGAAGGAACAUACACUGAUUAUCUGCCAUAUAUCAAAUUCAUUGUCUACAUUAUUUAAUUCUCAAAAGCAUGCUGUACAGCUGUAAUUCUUUCCCCCAUUUUCAAGGUGAUCAAGCUGAGAGAUAUUGAAUUGCUAAUCUACUUACACGGCCAGUAGGUAGAAGAACAGGAAUAAAAUCUAGUCUUUUCGCAACCAAAGCUGAUGCUACUCUCUUCACAUCUUGCGUCCAGCUAUAAGCUGGACAUGAGUUUUCUCUGUGUUUGUGGAAAGCAGUGGAGCAGACAUUGAUGGUAGCUAACUCAACAUCUGUUCCACACAGCCUGCUUCUCCUUUCUCCCCAGAGUUCUGAUUUUGCUUCAACACCUACCUCUACCCCUUCUAGUGGAUGGUGACUCCAUGACCUGCCCCAGAGUUUAGAUUCUGAUUUCCCUAAACCAAUCAGUGUAUGACGUUCCCCUGUGAUUGCUGGGACUUGGAGAAAUGCCUUAAUUAUCACAAGAUAACUGAAGGAUAUGUCCAACCACUCAUGACUGAGGGAGGGAUUUCUGGGCUGUCCCCCUGAACAUGAACAAGGCAGCAUGCAUAGAAGCCAUGUUACCUCUGGAAGCCCUCUUGGUUCUACAAGGGAUGCCAGGAUCUGAUUCAGGAGGAAUCUGGAGCUGAGGCUAGGAGAGAGAGGGGUAGAGUGAGAGAGAGGAGAGACUGAUCGAAGGAAUCCGAGUCUAUGUUACAUUACGCAUGUGCUUCUACUAGAGGCUGCCCAACUUCUGGGUUUCCAGUUAUAUGAGAUAAUACAUUUCUUUAUCGUUCAUACUCACUUGAGUUUGUCCAAGAUUUCUGUUAUUUGCCUCAAAAGCCUUAUGAGUGCCAUGGGUCAUCAUGGGUCUUAUUUGUCUCUCUACUUCUCUACACACAGCCACCAGCACUGUGACAGAGGACACAGGUGCUUCUCCUAACUAGAGAACCCACCUUGUCACCUGGUUCCCUCCACCUCGUCCUCAUGUCCUUUCCUAAAUUAUCACUUCCUCAGGGAGACGUCUGCUGACAUUCAGACUGGAUGAGAGCCCCUGAUUAUACAUUCUUUUCAUAGUCUGUAUUUUUCCUCCUUGUAUUUAUCAAAUCUUGACUGAUUAUUUGCGUGAUUAUUUACUGUGUGGAUCAUUCACUAGAUUAUGAGCUUCCUCGAGGCAGGGCAACGUUGGUUAAGCUCUACCCUGUUUCUGUAGCACCCAGCAUAUUUCUGGGCACACAAAACAUUUGUAUAUCGAGUGAUGAAUGAAUAAAUAAAUGAAGAGCCAGCCUUUAAUAAAUGUGUGCUGAAUUGGAAUUGAGAUUCAAUAUAUCUGUACAUAAUGUGGAGUCAGCAGUGACAUUGCCAAUUAAUACACACUGAGCACCUCGGAUGUCUCCUAUGAAUCUAAUAUAUUGGUUUCACUCUGGUGUCUUUGAAGGUGGUGGCUGGAGUUCAUUUGAAAUGGUGUAUUUGCCAAUUUCACUUUAUUUCCUCAGCCUGGAUUUCAGAGGCAAGCAGCAUGCCUUUCAUUUAUCCAACUUACCCAGAGCCUAUUCAAUAGAACAAUCAACUCCCAGUGUGUUCCACACUUGCUGCUUGUCAAAGCCUCUUACAGUCAUGGGAUGUAAGUAAUCAGUGCAGUGUACUUGGCAACACAUGGACUGAGAGGUUCAGAAUUUUAAUUUUGUUCUUCCUUUAAGAACGAGUCUCUAUCUGGGCCAGCCAGAGUGGCCUUUCUGCUUUCAUCUGUUCAACGAUGAGAGAGCGUGGGGUCAGCCUCUAAGUGAAGCCUCCUCUGCACUUCCCUCGUACCCUUCCCUUCCCUUCCUCUACUUCUCACUACCAGAUGUUACGAUGCUCAAUGAUGAAACCUUUGACUUAUUCACCUCGGUCCCCAGUACCCCAGACAGGGGUUACAGUUCAACUCAGUUCCAUAUAACAAUGUUUCCUGGAGGCUUCUUAUGGACCAGACACCGUGGUGGGCAUGGUGAAAACACAACAGGACACAUACACCCUGCAGCAGUGGUGAUCAGAGAGGCUUCAUGAAGGAAAUGCCUGAGGGAAUGAGUGAGAGUUAUGCCCAAGACAAUGUAGAGAACGCAAGAGAUAUGUGUGCUGUGGUGUGAAUCAAGAAAUGAAUUAGAUGGAUGAAAGGACAGAGGAUUGGUGAAUAUUAAAGUACUUUGAACAAAAAUGAGUCAUCUGUCAAGUCACAGCAUAUGUCAUAUUUAAAAGAAAUACCAGUCUGACAUCUAAAAAGAUACAGAAGUAAUUAAGAAUUUACCAGGUCUCUUAGUAUAAUGGAAAAGGAAGAUCUGGCAUAAUCUUAUAUACAGUCUACCUAUCUUGUCAAAAUCCAGCAUAUAGUACGGUUAUGACGCCCACUCAAGCCCUGCAUUCUCAAUCUAACCAAAUAUGUUUUUGUCUUUUCUCUGUUGCUCCCAAACUCUCCUUGGCCUCUGUCUGUUGUGGCCCUCAUGUAUCCCCUCCCCCUUCCCAUAAAUCCUGGAUUCAUUUGUUUCUUCCAGGAGUGGCUUGAUGGUCUUUCUCAUUAAACAAAUGUAACCCUUUCUUUUAGCUUCUGAAAUAUUUGUUCUUUAUGUAUUUUUUGACAGCAUAAUAAAAGACCUCUGUAUC